rnacentral:rRNA from 1 species
UACAGAGGGGGCCAGCGUUAUUCGGAAUUAUUGGGCGUAAAGGGCUCGUAGGCGGUCCAUCGCGUCGGGAGUGAAAAGCUGGGGCUUAACCCCAGUCCUGCUUCCGAUACGGGUGGACUAGAGGUAGGUAGGGGAGAUCGGAAUUCCUGGUGUAGCGGUGAAAUGCGCAGAUAUCAGGAGGAACACCGGUGGCGAAGGCGGGUCUCUGGGCAAUUACUGACGCUGAGGAGCGAAAGCGUGGGGAGCGAACAGG